UCACACUGGGUAGCUCAGUUGGUUAAAGUGUGGGGCUGACAACGCCAAGGUUGCAGGUUCGAUCCUGUCCUGUAAG